rnacentral:lncRNA from 1 species
AUGCCUCCUAAGAGAGCAAGGACUGUUAAUUUAGAGGACGAUGCCCUAAGUCCUGGAACGUCAGGUCUAAAGAAAGGUCGAGGUCGUCCCCGUAAGACUUGGGAUGAGUUGUGUGUACGGUCCCAAUUUAGACGGCUGGCUGAGGAAAGGAAUGCUGAGUGGCCGCUGGAUGUAUCUGGUUUUGAUGAUAGUCUCGUGGAUGAUCUGUGUGGUAGCGGUAGUGCAACUGUAGGCCAGAGUGAUGAUAAUGUGUGUUGUAGUAGCGUAGAGCAAGGAUCAAGUGCUUUAGAUAGUGAGGAAGUGGGAAUGAGUGUUGUGGAUGUUUGCGUGGAAGAUGGAGCAAGUGUCAUGGAUGCUUUAACUUUUGAGUGGGAAAGUGGAUUUGAUUUGGAUGUAGCAAAUGAUGAGGUAGCAGAAACGGCAGCAGGCUCACCAGCGCAGUACAUAGAUUUUACUUUUGACGAAUUCAUGGAGCUAGCAGAGGACCUCUUGGAAGAUGAAGAUGAAGAUGAGUUGUUUGAUUAUGGUGCUGCUGUAAGAGGGCGAAACCAGACUUCACUAGAAGCAUUAGAAGAGAAGCUCGCAAUCUGGCGGUCAAACCACAAUAUCACCAGGACAGCCAUGACAGACCUCUUGCACAUCCUUCAUGACCACCAACCAGUGGAAGAUUUUAGUUUAUUGCCCCUAGACAGUAGGACUAUAACCAGUCAUACUAGUUUUGUGAACACCGAAGGUUUUCAAACUGUUUAUGGCUGUGCGGGUGGGACCUACGUGCAUUUGGGUAUUGAAGACCAGAGCCGUAUCAUCAUGAGGCCAGUGAAAGACGAAUCUGGAGUGAUAAUCUAUGACUUUUGCACGGAUGGAAUGCCGCCAUUCAGAAGUUCUGCCUCAAAUAUUUGGCCUUGGAUGGCCAAAAUAGUGUCGAUUCCAUCCAUUGCCCAUUUGGUUUUUCUCGUAGGUGCCUGGUUCGGUCAACGAUCAAAGCCAAAUAGUGGCAAUGCCUUCAUGCAAAAAGUCGUUGAAGAGUUGUCUUUGUUGCUUGAAAACGGGAUGGUUGUGAAUGAUGUACACUAUGUAGUUUAUGUGAGGUGCCUCAUUGCUGAUGCCCCAGCAAGGUGUCUUGUUCUAGAGUCAAUUUAUUUUAACGGUUACGGCUCAUGCCCCAAAUGUAAAGUUCAUGGCUCCUGGGAUGGCCGAACAUUUUUUCCUCUCUGUGCUUGUGAAAACGCACAAAGAAGAACGCAUGAAGAUUAUGUAACUCUCCAGGACAAAGUUUACCAUAAAGAUGAGACGCUAUUAGUGAAUCUCCCAGGAUUAGAUAUUGUCAAACAAGUGCCAUUUGAUCCCAUGCAUCUGAUCUAUAGAGGUGUAAUGAAGUGUUUGCUAGGACUUUGGGUAGCAGGUGAUAGGCCAUACAAAUUAUCGGCUGCACUUUGUGAUAGUAUCUCUUCUCAUCUUCUAGAAUGUCGUAAGUUUGUGCCCGCUGACUUUCAGCGAAAACCAAGAUCUCUAGUAGAUCUUCCUUAUUUCAAAGCAACUGAAUUCCGACUUUUUGUGUUGUACAUAGGUCCAGUUUGCGUGAAGAGAGAACUCGAUAACCUCAGAUAUGUUAAUUUUCUGUGUUUGCAUGUGGCUGUCAGAAUUUUAGCAGACCCUAUUCUCUGUAAACAAGAGCAAUUCCUUCUGUAUGCUGAAAAGUUGUUGUUGAAAUUUUUAGAACAUUUCUGUAGGCUUUACAACGAAAAAUUUUGA